UUUCCGUAGGUGAACCUGCGGAAGGAUCAUUAGCGAUUGAAUAGCGCAUGCCGCCUCGCCAUAGUGCAGGCGGCUCUAUAACGCAACCCUUGCCUUUUGUGAAGCACCGUUAUUUGAUCCCUCGGCGGCCUCGCCCGCCAACAGGGACCUUGAAAACACUUGCAAUUCUAGUAUAAACCUUCUGAAAUAACCUAAAUCUUUUAAAAACUUUCAACAAUGGAUCUCUUGGCUCUG
rnacentral:misc_RNA from 1 species